rnacentral:tRNA from 1 species
AAUACCCAUAAUUAAUUUUUACUAAUAACUUAUACUCUCAUCCAAACUUAUCAUAAAAUUUU